CCAAUAACAAUGAAGUAGGUAAUUCGUUCCAUCAGGACAAGUACCACGGUAUGGUAACCAGAAAAUACACAUCCAUUAAUAUAUACCAUUUCACAUAAUACAUAAUUAGGACCUAGUUAAUUUAAUCUCAUAGGAAACAUACCACUUCUGCAGAUAAGUGAAAACAAGUAAACAUCUAGUACAUACAGGCAUGCCCCUGGACAAAUCCAAAUGUUUACAAAAUGCAUCUAGGAAUUCAGCAUCAAUCAUGAAACAUUACCAGUAAGCAACUGCCAAAUUCCAAAAGCAGCAACGUACAUACAGGCAUGGAGAACCUUGCCUUGCAAAUUAUCCAUUGCAUAAAGCUUAUUUGUUCUACUCCUCGAUCUCUUGCGCGUCCAUGUAAGCCUUCUUCAUAUCUUCAAUUAUUGCAUCAUUCGUGCUGCCAACAAAGAAAAGCACAUGGUGAAUAUCAAAAUAUUUAGAUUAAUGUGGUUUCUAUCAAGCCAAUGUCAUCUACUCAACAAUGAAACAAGCAGCUUGCGCACUAGAGAACAAAAUGUAAUACAAAAAUAACUCAGGCUCUUUCAAUCAUGAUUAUCAAAAAGUAAAAUAAAUUGUGGUCAGCAAUAAUAGCAUAAAUACUCUUUUCAAGAUUUCUGAAGUGUACUAAUCACCAAACAUGUUUCAACAAGAUCAUAAUUAUUAGUUUGGAUUAUUAGAUGAAACCUACAACAGAGUUGGCUCCAUAAAAUUCCAACAAAUGUGCAGACCAGAAAAGGAUUGACCAUUUCAAAAUCAUACAUGAAUCAGGUUCCUGCUGUCAAGAGAGUAUCAUAUGAAACAGCAACAGUUGUCAAUAGGACAGAGACAUCGUUAAUUUGACAAAAAUACAUGGUCCAUCCACUAGUAGCUUCAGCGCAAACUUGGAACACACCGGCUUCAGGGGGGAAUCCACCACUUUGCCCACCGCUUCCAAGCUCAGCAGCGUUGCAAAUUUCAGCUUCGAUGAUACUAAGAGAAGCCCCUGACUCCAUCCGACCGGAAGAUUUGGGGCCCUUCAUUACAUGUAUGGUCCACCUUGCCGCGCUUCGGCAAACUCAUCCACGGGGGACAGCCGCUGAUGGAUUGGGAGGAAGAAGAUGAAUCAGUGGUAACAUAUAUUUGUUUGCCCAUUUAUAAUAUGCUUUGACAGUUCAGUAAACAUCAUACGGCAUUUUCUUCGCAAAAAGAACAUCAUAGCAUAUUUAUGAUAGAAAAAUAGAAAAGAAUAUAAUUGUUUCAAAACCAUAACACAUAAUGCAUCCUACUUUUUCUCAAUGUUGGCACUAAACGGCAGAAUCAGUGUCAUUUAACCAAUUUGCAUCAAAAAACAUGAUACGAAAAAAAAACAAUUGCACAGCAGGGCCUAAUAUUUCAGUAAUUGUCAAGUAUAGCAUGGCUGAUUUAAUGGAGAAAUAUGAGAUGCCCAUCGAUUUUUCCAGAUUGAAUACAGAUCCCAAAAUCACCUGCAGCAACUAAAAAUCCAACACAAAUAAUAAUGAUGCCGGGUGUUGACAAAUCCCAUAACUGAAAUACCAACCAAAACAAAAAUCUCCAGCUCUCACCACAGGAUUUCCAUACUGAAAAUCAAUCUAUACACAACAACAGUAGCUUUCUUCACACUGAAACUAGAUGUGAUGGUUCGUUCCGGCCAAGAAGUUUGUAUCUCAAACAGGCGCAUCUACCAUUAUCCGGGAAAACAAACGACUUAAAAUGGUACAUGAGAGAUUUUUAGAUCCGUAAUUACCUAAUGGUCCAGCCGCUGGUGGCUUCUGAGCAAACCUAAGCAGGCGUCCCCGCACAGAUGUGUGCCCUCGCUGCCGCGGCCCAGCUGGGUAUCGGCGAUGCUCAUGAAAUCCCGCGACUCCACGGGAAUACAUCAGGAAUCGGCUCUGACGUCCCAAACAUGGAUCCUGCAGAAAAGUUGGUGGUGAGGCACUGAACUCAAAUCCAAAGAAUAGGACGCGGAUCUAAACACGGCCAUGACCGCCGGGCCAUAAGAAGACGCACCCGUGGCACCUCAACACCAAAGGAGCACAUCUCGCCGGAGAACAAACCCUGGCGCCGUCAAGGUUGGGGGAAAAGAGACCCAACGGCAGAGCCGGCGUGUGGAGACGAAUUGCCCAUGACCACCGGGUACGUGGGUAGGGCCAAGGGGCCAGGGAGAUGCUCACCGGAGAGAAACCAGUGCCGCCGUCGGAUUUGAGAGAGAGAGAGAGAGACGGAGGGGCAGAGCAGGUGUGCGGCGACGGCUUGUUCACGAGUUAGGGAUAAGGUCACGGACAUGGGCCAGCCUUUCUGGUGCAGGACACGUCGUCUUUUCUAGGUGUGCGAACAGGUAAAAGAAAUGGGUGGAACAGAAUACGCCUGUGCGGCAGAUAGGCGUAUCACGGACCGUAUUCUCUUCACUAGGCCUGCCACAG
rnacentral:lncRNA from 1 species